AUUGAACGCUGGCGGCAGGCCUAACACAUGCAAGUCGGGCGAGUGGCGGACGGGUGAGUAAUGUAUGGGGAUCUGCCUGAUGGCGGGGGAUAACUACUGGAAACGGUAGCUAAUACCGCAUACCAUCAGAUGAACCCAUAUGGGAUUAGCUUGUAGGUAAGGUAACGGCGUACCUAGGCGACGAUCACUAGCUGGUCUGAGCGGAUGACCAGCCACACGGGGACUGAGACACGGCCCAGACUCAUACGAGAGGCAGCAGUGGGGAAUAUUGCACAAUGGGCGCAAGCCGGAUGCAGCCAUGCCGCGGGUAUGAAGAAGGCCUUCGGGGUUUAAAGUACUUUCAGUCGGGAGGCGUUACCGACAGAAGGAGCGCCGGCUAACGCCGUGCCAGCAGCCGCGGUAAUUC
rnacentral:rRNA from 1 species